GUGAGUCAUUUUCCGUUUAACAGCAAGCAGUUAUGUCGCUCUUACAAUUUUUCUGAUAUUUGAUAGAAAAAUUGAUUUUUCUGUGCACUAUUUGAGUUUAUUCUGUUCCUUAAGGCCCGUUUAAUCUCCUGAAAAUGAAUAUUAAUAAUACAAACAAUACAAACCAACACUCACAUAGAGACCAUCUAAAAGAAGAGGCCUGGGUCACCCCUUGUAUAAUCCUGAAGUUUGGCCAUCAUUCUGAUUUACAAGUUGUCCAUUAUUAGUUGUCUUCCAUUAUCUGAUUAAAAAUUAUCCUCAACUAAUCGAUGGAUGUAUACAGUUCCAGGGCAGUACAGUUAUCCUUGUCACAAAUAUUACCAACAAUACAUCAGGACUUAUAAGUAUAUCUAAAAUUUUAUCAGUGGAUUUCAUGAUUUCUAUAUUUAAAGUAGGAAAAAAAUAUCAGUGAGUCUCUGGGUUACAUUUUUAUGGUUCCUUAUUAUUAUUUAGACCAACUAUUUUUAUUUUGAGCCAGUUUUUGGCUUUUGGUCACUUAAAUUCUUUUUCUUUUUGGUAUGAUACCAUCUACUUAGAAUUUAACUUAAUUAUGUUUAUGAUUAACUUAUUUACACUAGUUAUUUAUUUAUAAUAGCUUGCCUCCUAUAUUUUUUUGAUUGUGGUUAUCUCAUCAUUUUUCAAUUCUAUAAGCUAUUCCAGUGACUGUUUUUUCUAUAGAUCUUAUUUAUUUGUCUUAUUUAUUUGGUAUAUACCCUGUACUUAGAAUUUUAGUUCAUUUUGUUUAUGGUAUAGUUAACUUUCAUUUUUCUAUAAUAGCUUGACUCACAUAUGUGGGAAUAAUAUCAUUAUUUACCAAUUCUAUAAAAUGUUUCAUAAACUGUGGUGUCACUUUUCUAAUACUCUUGUGUUUUUUUGAUAAAACUCACCGAUUUGAAAUUAAAAAAUAAAAUGUAAA